rnacentral:lncRNA from 10 species
CUUUCUCCCCGCCGCAUUCCCGGUGUCGACUUACUAGCUGCAAGCCUCUGCCUGCCUUCCUGCGCGCCGUUCCCCGCUAGUCGCUGCUGCUGGCGCGCACUCGCCGGGUUUUUCCUCCCACGGCCUCGAGAUGGUGGUGAAUGUGGCACGGAGGAGCCGGGCCUUCCAACCCGGUGGGCCCGAGCUCCGAAAGGCCCCCUCGGCAGUGAGAGGGGCGGGAGCCCGCGGGGGCCGCGCCCUUCUCUCGCUUCGGACUGCGCAACGCUGCGCUCUGGGCUGACAGGCGGAUAAAACGGUCCCAUCAAGACUGAGAAAAAGCACACCAGCUAUUGGCACAGCGUGGGCAGUGGGGCCUACAGGAUGACUGACUUAGUCUACAGAGAUCCCGGCGUACUUAAGCAGAUGAAGACUCUUAAGAUGACAGAAGGUGAUUUUUCUGGUGAUCGAGGACUUCCGGGGUAAUGACAGUGAUGAAAUGCAGGGGACCUGGUAGGUUUCUUUUGGAGACUAACUGGGGGCUGCCUGGUGGGACAGAACAGCAUGUUUCCAAGGGCUGUGGCUGGUCAUAGCCAUGGGAUCUCCAACUGCAUGCAAGAGCAACCUGGAAAGACUUUGACAGCGCAGGUCAGUACAAUACCUGCAAGCUGCCACUCAGCUUUCCUAUAAUGUUUCAGGACCAGGGCUGGAAGCCUUCCAUGUGUCAACUUCAAUGUAGAUGGGUUUUUUUUUUUUUUUUUUUUUGAGACGGAGUCUUGCUCUGUCACCCAGGCUGCUGGAGUGCAGUGGCAUGAUCUCGGCUCAUGGCAACCUCUGCCUCCUGGGUUCAAGCGACUCUCCUACCUCAUCCUCCCGAGUAGCUGGGAUUACAGGUGCCCACCAUCACACCCAGCUAAUUUUCUUGUAUUUUUAGUAGAGAUGGUUUUCACCAUGUUGGCUAGAUGGGUCUCGAACUUCUGACCUCGGGUGAUCCGCCCGACUCGGCCUCCCCUUCCAAAGUGCUGGGAUUACAGGCAUGAGCCACCGCUCCUGGCCAGUUUAGUUUUCACGCUAAGCUUUUUGUUCUGCAGGUUGCCCCCAAGUUUCCUGGCAGUGUGUGAUACUGAGGAGGUGAGCUUGUUUCUGGAGCUGUGCUUUAAGGUAAAGUUGAUCAGCUUAAUCCUCCUGAUCCCUUUCCCAUCGGAUCUGAACACUGGUCUUGGUGGUCGUAAAAGGAGGAAAAGUAAUAGUGAAGCUGGCCUAAAUGUUGUAAUCUGGUAUAUGGCAUGUGGGCUAGUUUCAGACAGGUUUCAGAGAUGGUUGGAUCUCUGAAAUUGUAAAAUGAAGUAUAAUCUUAGGCUAAGGGAAGGAUGCGUGUGAAGCUCUGGAGGUUGGUAUAGUAAUAGCUGACCUAUUACUGCAUUUGGGAGGGAUCUGUCAUAGCUUCCUUGCCUCUUAAUUAAGGGUGGUGUUUUUUUCUUUUAGAUUCAUGUUACAUGUAAAGCUGUCCUCAUUUGUGACUAUGGACCUAUGGAGUUGGGACAAUCUCUAUGGGAAGCAGAAGGCAAGGACCCCGGUCAUUUUAGGUAGAAACAACAGCAUGCUAAUGCAAAAAAUUAUGCAGUGUGCUACUGAACUUCAGAGGUGAUCAAUAAAAGAAGAAUAAAAAGACUAAUAAAAGUA